rnacentral:rRNA from 1 species
UUAGGGAAGAACAAGUACCGUUCGAAUAGGGCGGUACCUUGCCGGUACCUAACGAGAAAGCCCCGGCUAACUACGUGCCAGCAGCCGCGGUAAUACGUAGGGGGCAAGCGUUGUCCGGAAUUAUUGGGCGUAAAGCGCGCGCAGGUGGUUCCUUAAGUCUGAUGUGAAAGCCCACGGCUCAACCGUGGAGGGUCAUUGGAAACUGGGGAACUUGAGUGCAGGAGAGGAAAGUGGAAUUCCACGUGUAGCGGUGAAAUGCGUAGAGAUGUGGAGGAACACCAGUGGCAAAGGCGACUUUCUGGCCUGUAACUGACACUGAGGCGCGAAAGCGUGGGGAGCAAACAGGAUUAGAUACCCUGGUAGUCCACGCCGUAAACGAUGAGUGCUAGGUGUUAGGGGGUUUCCGCCCCUUAGUGCUGAAGUUAACGCAUUAAGCACUCCGCCUGGGGAGUACGGCCGCAAGGCUGAAACUCAGAGGAAUU